rnacentral:tRNA from 1 species
CCCACCUUCUUAUUUGAAGAUGCCUUCGAUAAGGCCAAAUAUGCCAAUCCGUGGCGGGA